rnacentral:piRNA from 1 species
CCCAAGCAAGGGUCUUUGAUGGGCAC